rnacentral:rRNA from 1 species
UAAGAAGGGGGCUAGCGUUGUUCGGAAUCACUGGGCGUAAAGCGCACGUAGGCGGAUUGUUAAGUCAGGGGUGAAAUCCCGAGGCUCAACCUCGGAACUGCCUUUGAUACUGGCGAUCUAGAGUCCGGGAGAGGUGAGUGGAACUGCGAGUGUAGAGGUGAAAAUCGUAGAUAUUCGCAAGAACACCAGUGGCGAAGGCGGCUCACUGGCCCGGAACUGAAGCUGAGGUGCGAAAGCGUGGGGAGCAAACAGG